AUCCACGCGUGAAAUUCGCGCCAAAUUUCUUCCUUCGCAUCGGCUGGCUUCCAAGAUGGCAGGUGAUGGUGAUCGUAACAAGUCCCUGAAAGAAGCUUUAAUUGACAGUCUCACUGCUAUUCUGUCUCCUCUACACGACGUUCGAGUGAAUGGAGAGGAACAGAUCAAAGCCCUUGAGGUGACAGAAGAGUUUGGAGUCUAUCUGGCUGAGUUGACUGUGGAUCCAAAUGGAGCUUUAGCUAUCCGGCAAUUGGCCUCUGUCUUACUGAAGCAGUAUGUGGAAGCUCAUUGGUCAAGUCAGUCCAGUAAAUUCCGUGCCCCAGAAACCUCUGAGAAGGCAAAGGCUGCCAUUAGAGAGAUCCUACCUGCCGGAUUGAAAGAAUCCAUUAGUAAAGUUCGAACCAGUGUUGCCUAUGCAGUGUCUGCCAUCACCCACUGGGACUGGCCUGAGACCUGGCCAGAACUGUUCAGUCUUUUAAUGGAAGCUCUUACAUGUGGUGAUCCCAAUGCCCUUCAUGGUGCCAUGCGUGUUCUGACAGAGUUCACUCAAGAUGUGACAGAUGUUCAAAUGAUUAAAGUGGCUCCAGUUAUCCUUCCAGAAAUGUACAAAAUAUUUGUACAAGCUGAUACAUACAGUAUUCGUACGCGUACUCGAGCAGUCAACAUCUUCAACACUUGUGUUGCUAUGGUAGCUACUAUGAUGGACACACACAAAGGUAUUGUUAAGGCUUUACUAUUACCCGUCCUUCCACAAUUUACUGAUGCUUUUAUCAGUGCCCUUCAGGUUCCUGAUGGUGAAACUUCAGAUAGUGGCCUCAAGAUGGAAGUUCUUCAGGCUGUCACAGUUUUAGUGAAGAAUCUCCCCAAAACAAUGUCUACAUGGUUACCUCAAAUCCUUCCUCCAGUCUGGAAUUUGUUCACACACAGUGUGGAAUUUUAUGUUCGUACUGUUGUAAACAACACAGAGGAAGCUGAUAAUCCAGUGGAUUCAGAUGGUGAAGUUCUGGGAUUUGAAAACCUAGUUUAUAGUGUCUUUGAAUUUGUAUUGGGUCUUUUGGAGACUGUGCGCUUUCGAGCUACUGUGAGGAAGUCAUGUAAUGAAAUAUUGUACUACAUGAUACUCUACAUGCAAAUCACAGAGGAUCAAGUGCGGUUAUGGAGCGGUGAUCCUGAUCAGUUUGUGGAAGAUGAAGAUGAUGAUACAUUUUCCUAUUCUGUUAGAAUAUCUGCACAAGAUUUGUUGUUGUCCCUUGCUGCUGAGUUUCCUAAUGAAAGUGCCCCAGCGCUAUGUCAAGCCUUUACCCAACACAUACAACAGGCAGAGCUUGACAAAAAUGCUGGUAAUCCCAAUUGGUGGAAAGUUCAUGAGUCAUGUCUGUUGGCUUUAGGCAGUGUUCGUAAUCUAUUUGUUGAUUAUUUGAAAAAAGGGAAACUACAGUUUGACAUCAAACACUUUAUCGAAUCUGUGAUCCUUGCAGACAUGGCAGCUGAGUCAGUGUCACCGUUCUUGAUUGGUCGUUGUCUUUGGACUGGCAGUAGGUUUGCUGCAGUCAUGGAUAAUGAAACCAUGGACAAAUUUCUGCAGGCUACCAUGACUGGUUUACAUCCCAAUCAACCAGCUAGUGUUAGAAUUUCUGCUGUUAGAGCAGUCUUUGGAUUUUGUGAACAUCUAAAGAACACUGGCACCACACAGCUUUUGUUCAACUUCCUCCCAAACAUCAUGGAAGGUCUUCUCACAAUUACAACACAGUUUUCGUCGAAUGUUUUAGCACUUACGUUGGAAACUCUUAUACUUGUGUUGGCAAUUGAUGAUAAUUUUACAGCUAGUGUAGAGUGUAAAGUCACUCCAUUAACCAUUGCAGUUUUCCUCAAAUAUAGUAGUGACCCAUUAAUUGUCAGUUUGGUGGAGGAUAUGGUAAAAGUUUUGGCUGAAAAUGCCCACUGUACUGCCCCUUUACAGCAGCGUCUCUUACCAACCUUGAUAAGUAUAUUUCAGGCUUCACCUGACAAAGUUCCUCCUGGUUUACCUGCAGCAGCAUUAGAUGUCCUGCAAAUGGUAGUACGAGGAAGUAAGGCACCGUUGAGUGAUGCUCUAGUCCAAGAUUGUUUCCCAGCUUCGGUACAAUGUAUUUUACAAACGGAGGAUAAUUCCACUAUGCAGAGUGGUGGAGAGUGUCUCCGAGCAUUUGCAUCUGUUGGACUGGAUCAACUCAUGGUUUGGCAGGAUGAUCAUGGUAAAAAUGGUUUGUUCUACAUCAUCCAGGUGAUAGCCAAAUUACUUGACCCAAAGACUCCUGAGUUUACUGCAACAUUUGUUGGCAAACUAGUCUCAGUGAUUAUCAGUAAAGUUGGUAGUCAGCUUGGAGAAGAUCUCGACUUGAUGCUUAGGUCUGUCUUGGGCAAAAUGCAACGUUCAGAAACUUUAUCUGUCAUACAGAGUUUGGUGAUGAUUUUUGCACAUCUCACUCACACACAAAUGGAAGCCUUAUUGGCAUUUCUUUCCAAUGUACCUGGACCAACAGGCAAACCAGCAUUACAUUUUGUUCUUACUGAAUGGUGUUCACGCCAGCAUCUCUUCUAUGGUGCCUAUGAAAAUAAAGUCAGUAUUAUUGCUCUCACCAAACUUCUACAGUAUGCUGUUAAUACCAAUGAUACACGUUUUAAUGAAAUUGAAGUUACUGGAGAUGAGAUUAUUGAUGACAGUGGUAUUAGAACACGAUCCCAAAGAAAUAAAACUCCAACUCAGUGGACACGGGUACCAGUUUUAGUUAAAAUUUACAAACUGAUUGUGAAUGAACUUUCUAAUCAAAUGGAAACUAACAUGGCAACCAAUAUUCCCGAUGAAGAUGAAUUAAUCGAUGAGGAUGAGUUUGAAGAAGGUGAUGAUGAUGACGAUGAAGUAUCUGAUGGUACAACGUUGAGUAGCAUAUUAGAGGAUUAUGGAGGUGAUGGUUUAAAUGUUACUUGUUUUUUUUUCUUCAGUUCUAAAAUCUGGGCUGGAUGAAGACGAAGAUCCUGAUGCACUGGCUGACCCAGUUUAUCAUAUUGAUCUGCAGGCAUACUUAUCAGAAUUCUUGCAGUCUUUGUCACAGCAAGCAUUUUACAACAUGUUUAGCAGCCAUCAUACCCCAGCUGAGCGACAAGUGUUACAAGCCAUUGGUAUCCAGUGUUAAUUAAUCACCUUAUUACACAUAUUUUAUCCUCUUAGCCUUUCUUUUUCCCAUACCACUACUCCAGUACAACACUGAUUCCUCUCUAUUGCCAAAUACCUGCCAAUUGACUUGCAAACAAAGAAAAGAAAGGAAACAAUCAAGGCUAUGAUGUAAUUAGGUGCUGUCGUUUUAAUUUCCUUGCUGCAUCUACCUUUUAAAACCACGUAUCUUGGUCAAUGCCAUCCAAGCGAAUUGUUACAUUCACUCUCUUCCCAACUUAAUUUUAUAUAUCAUAAAACAUUUUCUUUUAAGAUAUUUAAUAAAGGCUUGUAAAUAAUAAAUAAUAAAAAUAAACAGUUCCAAAUUU